rnacentral:rRNA from 1 species
UCGCGGCCCUACAGCUUGUUGGUGAGGUAACGGCUCACCAAGGCGACGACGGGUAGCCGACCUGAGAGGGUGACCGGCCACACUGGGACUGAGACACGGCCCAGACUCCUACGGGAGGCAGCAGUGGGGAAUAUUGCACAAUGGGCGCAAGCCUGAUGCAGCGACGCCGCGUGAGGGAUGACGGCCUUCGGGUUGUAAACCUCUUUUGACAGGGACGAAGCGCAAGUGACGGUACCUGUAGAAGAAGCACCGGCCAACUACGUGCCAGCAGCCGCGGUAAUACGUAGGGUGCGAGCGUUGUCCGGAAUUACUGGGCGUAAAGAGCUUGUAGGCGGUCUGUCGCGUCGAUUGUGAAAACUUGCAGCUCAACUGCAAGCUUGCAGUCGAUACGGGCAGACUAGAGUACUGCAGGGGAGACUGGAAUUCUUGGUGUAGCGGUGAAAUGCGCAGAUAUCAGGAGGAACACCGGUGGCGAAGGCGGGUCUCUGGGCAGUAACUGACGCUGAGAAGCGAAAGCGUGGGUAGCGAACCGGAUUAGAUACCCUGCUUGUCCACUCCGUAAUGCGGCGGGUCACAGGCUCAGGUUCCUAACACCCUCCUUCCCCCCUACCCCGCCUUUA